UAGGGAAUCUUCGGCAAUGGACGGAAGUCUGACCGAGCAACGCCGCGUUAGUGAAGAAGGUUUUCGGAUCGUAAAGCUCUGUUGUUAGAGAAGAACGUUGGUAGGAGUGGAAAAUCUACCAAGUGACGGUAACUAACCAGAAAGGGACGGCUAACUACGUGCCAGCAGCCGCGGUAAUACGUAGGUCCCGAGCGUUGUCCGGAUUUAUUGGGCGUAAAGCGAGCGCAGGCGGUUCUUUAAGUCUGAAGUUAAAGGCAGUGGCUUAACCAUUGUACGCUUUGGAAACUGGAGGACUUGAGUGCAGAAGGGGAGAGUGGAAUUCCAUGUGUAGCGGUGAAAUGCGUAGAUAUAUGGAGGAACACCGGUGGCGAAAGCGGCUCUCUGGUCUGUAACUGACGCUGAGGCUCGAAAGCGUGGGGAGCAAACAGG
rnacentral:rRNA from 1 species